rnacentral:rRNA from 1 species
GCNACGCUGGCGGCGUGCCUAAUACAUGCAAGUCGAGCGGACCAAAGGGAGCUUGCUCCUGGAGGUUAGCGGCGAACGGGUGAGUAACACGUGGGCAACCUGCCUGUAAGACUGGGAUAACAUCGAGAAAUCGGUGCUAAUACCGGAUAAUAAAAAGAACUGCAUGGUUCUUUUUUGAAAGAUGGUUUCGGCUAUCACUUACAGAUGGGCCCGCGGCGCAUUAGCUAGUUGGUGGGGUAACGGCUCACCAAGGCGACGAUGCGUAGCCGACCUGAGAGGGUGAUCGGCCACACUGGGACUGAGACACGGCCCAGACUCCUACGGGAGGCAGCAGUAGGGAAUCUUCCGCAAUGGACGAAAGUCUGACGGAGCAACGCCGCGUGAGUGAUGAAGGUUUUCGGAUCGUAAAACUCUGUUGUUAGGGAAGAACAAGUGCCGUUCGAAAGGGCGGCACCUUGACGGUACCUAACGAGAAAGCCACGGCUAACUACGUGCCAGCAGCCGCGGU